rnacentral:rRNA from 1 species
AUGAACGCUGGCGGCGUGCUUAACACAUGCAAGUCGAACGAUUAACCCGCCCUCGGGCGGUUAUAGAGUGGCGAACGGGUGAGUAACACGUGACCAACCUGCCCCUUGCUCCGGGACAACCCAGGGAAACCUCGGCUAAUACCGGAUACUCCGCGCAGCCCGCAUGGGAGGCGCGGGAAAGCCCAGACGGCAAGGGAUGGGGUCGCGGCCCAUUAGGUAGACGGCGGGGUAACGGCCCACCGUGCCCGCGAUGGGUAGCCGGGUUGAGAGACCGAUCGGCCACAUUGGGACUGAGAUACGGCCCAGACUCCUACGGGAGGCAGCAGUGGGGAAUUUUGCGCAAUGGGGGAAACCCUGACGCAGCAACGCCGCGUGCGGGACGAAGGCCUUCGGGUUGUAAACCGCUUUCAGCAGGGAAUAUAGUGAAGGUACCUGCAGAAGAAGCUCCGGCUAACUACGUGCCAGCAGCCGCGGUAAUACGUAGGGAGCGAGCGUUAUCCGGAUUCAUUGGGCGUAAAGCGCGCGUAGGCGGCCCGUCAAGCGGGGUUUCAAAUCCAGGGGCUCAACCUCUGGCCGGACCCCGAACUGGCGGGCUCGAGUGCGGUAGAGGAAGGUGGAAUUCCCAGUGUAGCGGUGAAAUGCGCAGAUAUUGGGAAGAACACCGAUGGCGAAGGCAGCCUUCUGGGCCGCCACUGACGCUGAGGCGCGAAAGCUAGGGGAGCGAACAGGAUUAGAUACCCUGGUAGUCCUAGCCGUAAACGAUGGGCACUAGGUGUGGGGGAGCAUCUCCUCCGUGCCGCAGCCAACGCAUUAAGUGCCCCGCCUGGGGAGUACGGCCGCAAGGCUAAAACUCAAAGGAAUUGACGGGGGCCCGCACAAGCAGCGGAGCAUGUGGCUUAAUUCGAAGCAACGCGAAGAACCUUACCAGGUCUUGACAUCCCGAUGCUAUUUCUAGAGAUAGAAAGUUACUUCGGUACAUCGGUGACAGGUGGUGCAUGGUUGUCGUCAGCUCGUGUCGUGAGAUGUUGGGUUAAGUCCCGCAACGAGCGCAACCCCUAUUGUCAGUUGCCAUCAUUAAGUUGGGCACUCUGGCGAGACUGCCGGUGACAAAUCGGAGGAAGGUGGGGACGACGUCAAGUCAUCAUGCCCCUUAUGCCCUGGGCUGCACACGUGCUACAAUGGCCGGUACAACGGGCUGCGACGCCGCGAGGCGGAGCGAAUCCCUCAAAGCCGGCCCCAGUUCGGAUCGCAGGCUGCAAUUCGCCUGCGUGAAGCCGGAGUUGCUAGUAAUCGCGGAUCAGCAUGCCGCGGUGAAUACGUUCCCGGGCCUUGUACACACCGCCCGUCACACCACUCGAGUCGUCUGCACCCGAAGUCGCCGGCCGAACCCGCAAGGGGCGGAGGCGCCGAAGGUGUGGAGGGUAAGAGGGGUG